rnacentral:rRNA from 1 species
AGUGAGCGCUGGCGGUAGGCCUAACACAUGCAAGUCGAACGGCAGCACAGUAAGAGCUUGCUCUUACGGGUGGCGAGUGGCGGACGGGUGAGGAAUACAUCGGAAUCUACUUUUUCGUGGGGGAUAACGUAGGGAAACUUACGCUAAUACCGCAUACGACCUACGGGUGAAAGCAGGGGAUCUUCGGACCUUGCGCGAUUGAAUGAGCCGAUGUCGGAUUAGCUAGUUGGCGGGGUAAAGGCCCACCAAGGCGACGAUCCGUAGCUGGUCUGAGAGGAUGAUCAGCCACACUGGAACUGAGACACGGUCCAGACUCCUACGGGAGGCAGCUGUGGGGAAUAUUGGACAAUGGGCGCAAGCCUGAUCCAGCCAUACCGCGUGGGUGAAGAAGGCCUUCGGGUUGUAAAGCCCUUUUGUUGGGAAAGAAAAGCAGCAGGUUAAUACCCCGCUGUUCUGACGGUACCCAAAGAAUAAGCACCGGCUAACUUCGUG